GAGAACCAUUCGUUCCGUAAGGUCCGGAUGGGGAAACCGGCGAACGGGUGCGUAACACGUGAGGAACCUGCCCCGAAGAUCGGGAUAGCCCGGGGAAACCCGGAUUAAUACCGAAUACCCUCUCCGGACCGCAUGGUCUGUUGAGGAAAUGGUCAGCCGCUUCGGGAUGGCCUCGCGGCCUAUCAGCUUGUUGGUGAGGUAACGGCUCACCAAGGCAAAGACGGGUAGCUGGUCUGAGAGGACGAUCAGCCACACUGGGACUGAGACACGGCCCAGACUCCUACGGGAGGCAGCAGCAGGGAAUAUUGCACAAUGGGCGCAAGCCUGAUGCAGCGACACCGCGUGCGGGAUGAAGGCCCUCGGGUUGUAAACCGCUUUCAGGAGGGACGAAAAUGACGGUACCUCCAGAAGAAGGCCCGGCCAACUACGUGCCAGCAGCCGCGGUAACACGUAGGGGCCAAACGUUGUCCGGAUUUAUCGGGCGUAAAGGGCUCGUAGGCGGUUCAACAAGUCGGUCGUGAAAUGCCGGGGCUCAACCCCGGAACGCCGGUCGAAACUGUUGUGACUAGGGUCCGGUAGAGGUGAGUGGAAUUCUCGGUGUAGCGGU
rnacentral:rRNA from 1 species